UACAGAGGUCUCAAGCGUUGUUCGGAUUCAUUGGGCGUAAAGGGUGCGUAGGCGGCGCGGUAAGUCGGGUGUGAAAUCUCAGAGCUUAACUCCGAAACUGCAUUCGAUACUGCCGUGCUUGAGGACUGGAGAGGAGACUGGAAUUUACGGUGUAGCGGUGAAAUGCGUAGAUAUCGUAAGGAAGACCAGUGGCGAAGGCGGGUCUCUGGGCAGUUCCUGACGCUGAGGCACGAAGGUCAGGGGAGCAAACGGG
rnacentral:rRNA from 1 species